GANCGCUGGCGGCACGCCUAACACAUGCAAGUCGAACGAGUAUCUUCGGAUCUAGUGGCGGACGGGUUAGUAACGCGUGGGAACGUACCCUUCACUACGGAAUAGUCCCGGGAAACUGGGUUUAAUACCGUAUACGCCCUUCGGGGGAAAGAAUUUCGGUGAGGGAUCGGCCCGCGUUAGAUUAGUUAGUUGGUGGGGUAAUGGCCUACCAAGACUACGAUCUAUAGCUGGUUUGAGAGGAUGAUCAGCAACACUGGGACUGAGACACGGCCCAGACUCCUACGGGAGGCAGCAGUGGGGAAUCUUAGACAAUGGGGGCAACCCUGAUCUAGCGAUGCCGCGUGAGUGAUGAAGGCCUUAGGGUCGUAAAGCUCUUUCGCCUGUGAUGAUAAUGACAGUAGCAGGUAAAGAAACCCCGGCUAACUCCGUGCCAGCAGCCGCGGUAAUACGGAGGGGGUUAGCGUUGUUCGGAAUUACUGGGCGUAAAGCGCACGUAGGCGGAUUAGUCAGUCAGAGGUGAAAUCCCAGGGCUCAACCCUGGAACUGCCUUUGAUACUGCUAGUCUUGAGUUCGAGAGAGGUAAGUGGAAUUCCGAGUGUAGAGGUGAAAUUCGUAGAUAUUCGGAGGAACACCAGUGGCGAAGGCGGCUUACUGGCUCGAUACUGACGCUGAGG
rnacentral:rRNA from 1 species